ACGAACGCUGGCGGCGUGCUUAACACAUGCAAGUCGAACGGAAAGGCCCCCACUUUUUUGGUGGGGGUGCUCGAGUGGCGAACGGGUGAGUAACACGUGGGUGAUCUGCCCUGUACUUCGGGAUAAGCUUGGGAAACUGGGUCUAAUACCGGAUAGGACCAUGGUUUAGUGUCUCAUGGUGGAAAAAUUAUUGUUUUGGUGCAGGAUGAGCUCGCGGCCUAUCAGCUUGUUGGUGGGGUAAUGGCCUACCAAGGCGUCGACGGGUAGCCGGCCUGAGAGGGUGGACGGCCACAUUGGGACUGAGAUACGGCCCAGACUCCUACGGGAGGCAGCAGUGGGGAAUAUUGCACAAUGGGCGCAAGCCUGAUGCAGCGACGCCGCGUGGGGGAUGACGGCCUUCGGGUUGUAAACUCCUUUCGUUAGGGACGAAGCCGCACCUUUUUUGGGUGUGGUGACGGUACCUUUGUUAAGAAGCACCGGCUAACUACGUG
rnacentral:rRNA from 1 species